CACCAGACUCCUACGGGAGGCAGCAGUGGGGAAUAUUGCACAAUGGGGGAAACCCUGAUGCAGCGACGCCGCGUGAGCGAUGAAGUAUUUCGGUAUGUAAAGCUCUUUCAGCAGGGAAGAAAAUGACGGUACCUGACUAAGAAGCCCCGGCUAACUACGUGCCAGCAGCCGCGGUAAUACGUAGGGGGCAAGCGUUAUCCGGAUUUACUGGGUGUAAAGGGAGCGUAGGCGGCCUGGCAAGCCUGAUGUGAAAUACCGGGGCCCAACCCCGGGGCUGCAUUGGGAACUGCCAGGCUGGAGUGCCGGAGAGGCAGGCGGAAUUCCUAGUGUAGCGGUGAAAUGCGUAGAUAUUAGGAGGAACACCAGUGGCGAAGGCGGCCUGCUGGACGGUGACUGACGCUGAGGCUCGAAAGCGUGGGGAGCAAACAGGAUUAGAUACCCCCGUAC
rnacentral:rRNA from 1 species